rnacentral:rRNA from 1 species
UCCGGUGGCGAUGCGCUUGGGGGUCACACCCGUUCCCAUCCCGAACACGAUGGUUAAGACCCAAGCGGCCGAUGGUACUAUGCUGGAGACGGCAUGGGAGAGCAGGUGGCUGCCGGAU